rnacentral:rRNA from 1 species
CGUAGGGUGCGAGCGUUAAUCGGAAUUACUGGGCGUAAAGCGUGCGCAGGCGGUUUUGUAAGACAGAUGUGAAAUCCCCGGGCUCAACCUGGGACCUGCAUUUGUGACUGCAAGGCUCGAGUACGGUAGAGGGGGAUGGAAUUCCGCGUGUAGCAGUGAAAUGCGUAGAUAUGCGGAGGAACACCGAUGGCGAAGGCAAUCCCCUGGACCUGUACUGACGCUCAUGCACGAAAGCGUGGGGAGCAAACAGGAUUAGAUACCCUGGUAGUCCACGCCCUAAACGAUGUCAACUGGUUGUUGGGUCUUUACUGACUCAGUAACGAAGCUAACGCGUGAAGUUGACCGCCUGGGGAGUACGGCCGCAAGGUUG